AAAUUUAAAUACUUAGAUUCUACGCUAAAGAUGCAGUUCUAUAAAUAUAUAACUACUGAUAAAUUAUUACUAUUAUUAUUUACUUAUUGUAAUCUUUUAAUUUAGAGAAUUGUCAAAUCAACAUAAUUGGUAACAGUAGUCUGCAAAUAGAUGUCCCAAUAGAGUGCCAGCAGGCGUGGUUAGACUGAGCAUCUACUUUAGUUCAACUUAUUAUAAACUCUAGUACUUAUGUAACUAUUAACUGGUAAAAUAGGGAGUUAGUUAAAUCUUACUAGGCAAUUUCAGUCACAUAAAAGACAAGGAUUAGAUACCCUUUUAUGCGUGAUGAGAUACAUCUGAUAAUUAAGUUUAAAAUUUAAACAAUUUGGCGGUAAAGAAAGAACUCAGAGAAACCUGUGUAUUAAUUGGAUGAUCCACCAUUACACUCUCUUAUUACAUGUGUUACCUGUAUGUCUGUUUAGAUUAUUGUUAAAUCUUUAAUCGUCACUUCUUAAUUGAUUUCAAUUCAGGUCUAUAUAGGGAUAAUUAUUAAGUUGGCAUGGGUUGCAUUAAAGUUAUCUAAUAGUUCAGUUAAAAUGAGCUUAAUUUGGAUUUGAAAGUAAAUGUUAUUGUAAAUACAUUGAAUUUUCUAUUUCUUUAAGUACAAAUCGCCCGUCACCUCUGUCACAAAAAAGACUGAGUAAGUCGAAACAAAGUAGGUUGGCUGGAAGGGUAACCUGUAUG
rnacentral:ncRNA from 1 species